rnacentral:rRNA from 1 species
UUAAGCGACUAAGCGUACACGGUGGAUGCCCUGGCAGUCAGAGGCGAUGAAGGACGUGCUAAUCUGCGAAAAGCGUCGGUAAGGUGAUAUGAACCGUUAUAACCGGCGAUGUCCGAAUGGGGAAACCCAGUGCAAUUCGUUGCACUAUCGUUAACUGAAUACAUAGGUUAACGAGGCGAACCGGGGGAACUGAAACAUCUAAGUACCCCGAGGAAAAGAAAUCAACCGAGAUUCCCCCAGUAGCGGCGAGCGAACGGGGAGCAGCCCAGAGUCUGAAUCAGCUUGUGUGUUAGUGGAACGGUCUGGAAAGUCCGACGGUACAGGGUGAUAGUCCCGUACACCAAAAUGCACAGGCUGUGAACUCGAAGAGUAGGGCGGGACACGUGGUAUCCUGUCUGAAUAUGGGGGGACCAUCCUCCAAGGCUAAAUACUCCUGACUGACCGAUAGUGAACCAGUACCGUGAGGGAAAGGCGAAAAGAACCCCGGCGAGGGGAGUGAAAAAGAACCUGAAACCGUGUACGUACAAGCAGUGGGAGCACCUUCGGGUGUGACUGCGUACCUUUUGUAUAAUGGGUCAGCGACUUAUAUUCUGUAGCAAGGUUAACCGUAUAGGGGAGCCGCAGGGAAACCGAGUCUUAACUGGGCGUUAAGUUGCAGGGUAUAGACCCGAAACCCGGUGAUCUAGCCAUGGGCAGGUUGAAGGUUGGGUAACACUAACUGGAGGACCGAACCGACUAAUGUUGAAAAAUUAGCGGAUGACUUGUGGCUGGGGGUGAAAGGCCAAUCAAACCGGGAGAUAGCUGGUUCUCCCCGAAAGCUAUUUAGGUAGCGCCUCGUGAAUUCAUCUUCGGGGGUAGAGCACUGUUUCGGCUAGGGGGUCAUCCCGACUUACCAACCCGAUGCAAACUACGAAUACCGAAGAAUGUUAUCACGGGAGACACACGGCGGGUGCUAACGUCCGUCGUGAAGAGGGAAACAACCCAGACCGCCAGCUAAGGUCCCAAAGUCAUGGUUAAGUGGGAAACGAUGUGGGAAGGCACAGACAGCCAGGAUGUUGGCUUAGAAGCAGCCAUCAUUUAAAGAAAGCGUAAUAGCUCACUGGUCGAGUCGGCCUGCGCGGAAGAUGUAACGGGGCUAAACCAUGCACCGAAGCUGCGGCAGCGACACUAUGUGUUGUUGGGUAGGGGAGCGUUCUGUAAGCCUGCGAAGGUGUGCUGUGAGGCAUGCUGGAGGUAUCAGAAGUGCGAAUGCUGACAUAAGUAACGAUAAAGCGGGUGAAAAGCCCGCUCGCCGGAAGACCAAGGGUUCCUGUCCAACGUUAAUCGGGGCAGGGUGAGUCGACCCCUAAGGCGAGGCCGAAAGGCGUAGUCGAUGGGAAACAGGUUAAUAUUCCUGUACUUGGUGUUACUGCGAAGGGGGGACGGAGAAGGCUAUGUUAGCCGGGCGACGGUUGUCCCGGUUUAAGCAUGUAGGCUGGUUGUCCAGGCAAAUCCGGAUAAUCAAGGCUGAGGUGUGAUGACGAGGCACUACGGUGCUGAAGUAACAAAUGCCCUGCUUCCAGGAAAAGCCUCUAAGCAUCAGGUAACAUCAAAUCGUACCCCAAACCGGCACAGGUGGUCAGGUAGAGAAUACCAAGGCGCUUGAGAGAACUCGGGUGAAGGAACUAGGCAAAAUGGUGCCGUAACUUCGGGAGAAGGCACGCUGGUGUGUAGGUGAAGCCCCUGCGGGUGGAGCUGAGACCAGUCGAAGAUACCAGCUGGCUGCAACUGUUUAUUAAAAACACAGCACUGUGCAAACACGAAAGUGGACGUAUACGGUGUGACGCCUGCCCGGUGCCGGAAGGUUAAUUGAUGGGGUUAUCCGUAAGGAGAAGCUCUUGAUCGAAGCCCCGGUAAACGGCGGCCGUAACUAUAACGGUCCUAAGGUAGCGAAAUUCCUUGUCGGGUAAGUUCCGACCUGCACGAAUGGCGUAAUGAUGGCCAGGCUGUCUCCACCCGAGACUCAGUGAAAUUGAACUCGCUGUGAAGAUGCAGUGUACCCGCGGCAAGACGGAAAGACCCCGUGAACCUUUACUAUAGCUUGACACUGAACAUUGAGCCUUGAUGUGUAGGAUAGGUGGGAGGCUUUGAAGCGUGGACGCCAGUCUGCGUGGAGCCAACCUUGAAAUACCACCCUUUAAUGUUUGAUGUUCUAACGUUGGCCCCUUACCGGGGUUGCGGACAGUGUCUGGUGGGUAGUUUGACUGGGGCGGUCUCCUCCCAAAGCGUAACGGAGGAGCACGAAGGUUAGCUAAUCCUGGUCGGACAUCAGGAGGUUAGUGCAAUGGCAUAAGCUAGCUUGACUGCGAGCGUGACGGCGCGAGCAGGUGCGAAAGCAGGUCAUAGUGAUCCGGUGGUUCUGAAUGGAAGGGCCAUCGCUCAACGGAUAAAAGGUACUCCGGGGAUAACAGGCUGAUACCGCCCAAGAGUUCAUAUCGACGGCGGUGUUUGGCACCUCGAUGUCGGCUCAUCACAUCCUGGGGCUGAAGUAGGUCCCAAGGGUAUGGCUGUUCGCCAUUUAAAGUGGUACGCGAGCUGGGUUUAGAACGUCGUGAGACAGUUCGGUCCCUAUCUGCCGUGGGCGCUGGAGAAUUGAGGGGGGCUGCUCCUAGUACGAGAGGACCGGAGUGGACGCAUCACUGGUGUUCGGGUUGUCAUGCCAAUGGCACUGCCCGGUAGCUAAAUGCGGAAGAGAUAAGUGCUGAAAGCAUCUAAGCACGAAACUUGCCCCGAGAUGAGUUCUCCCUGAGACUUUAAGUCUCCUGAAGGAACGUUGAAGACGACGACGUUGAUAGGCCGGGUGUGUAAGCGCAGCGAUGCGUUGAGCUAACCGGUACUAAUGAACCGUGAGGCUUAACCUU